rnacentral:rRNA from 1 species
UCUGCAACUCGACUGCAUGAAGCUGGAAUCGCUAGUAAUUGCGAAUCAGCAUGUCGCGGUGAAUACGUUCCCGGGUCUUGUACACACCGCCCGUCACACCAUGGGAGUCGGAAAUGCCCGAAGCCAGUGACCCAACCUUUAAGGAGGGAGCUGUCGAAGGCAGGUCUGGUAACUGGGGUGAAGUCGUAACAAGGUACC